GAAAGAAGCAGUUAAUACAAAACUCUACGCAUUGUGUUGGUCUGUGUUGGUCUGUGGAGUCGGAUUGAGACCAUGCGUGAGCUGCACAGUCCAGCUGCUCUGGCCACCAGCAGGAGGCUCUGUGGGGACGUGAGAGACUCCACGGUGAUGUGCGAAGAGGAGGGAGGAGGGAGGUCAACAUGGACCAAACCAUGAAGGUGCCUGUGAUCCAUAAUCCUGGAGCCAAGGAGGAUCCAGCAGACGUGUCUAUUGUGAUUUAGGGAAAGUGCUGAACACGGAAUGAAGAUCCAAGAGGUGAAAUAAAACCAAGGAAGCAUGUUGGCAUUACUGACACCAUGGGCGCGGUUAUGCGCCACAGCCAGAGCAGCAGAAACCGC
ensembl:lncRNA